UGGCUGUAAGUUUGUCAUAUUAUGGUAUCU
rnacentral:piRNA from 1 species